AAAGUCGUAACAAGGUCUCCGUUGGUGAACCAGCGGAGGGAUCAUUACCGAGUUUACAACUCCCAAACCCAAUGUGAACAUUACCUUGACGUUGCCUCGGCGGGACCGCCCCGGCGCCCUCACCGGCACCGGAACCAGGCGCCCGCCGCAGGGACCCAAACCUCUGUUUUAUUAUGAAUUCUCCUCUGAGUGGAUUUUAUACAAAUAAAUCAAAACUUUCAACAACGGAUCUCUUGGCUCUG
rnacentral:misc_RNA from 1 species